UCUGAGACAGCAUGAAGUGAUGCUCU
rnacentral:piRNA from 1 species